UUUUCCUUUCACUUUGGCUUACCAAAAAAGUUUCUUCAGUUUAAAAUUUCAGCAACUGUUUUUAACCUUCUUAGUUCAGGCAUUUUUUUUUCCUUGUUAUCUGCAGCACUUGCUAAUCUUAGGCGUUUUCAUUAUUUAAUAGUCCUAUAAAAUGUUAAAACCUCAUCUUGACUGUUGCUGAUAUAGUAGUAUUCAUCGAGUACUUUUUUUUUAAGCACUUUUUCAACUAGGAUUCCUAUAUUAUUUUUUAAACUCAAAAAGGAACCUGACAGCACUAAUAUAAUAUAAGUUAUUGCUUACAGCCUUCUAAAGGAGAACUAAAUAUUCUAUCCAUGCAGUAUCCAGAAUGAUGUGCAAAUCCAAAAUGCUUAGUUGUGAAAUGCUAACAGUGCUGAGAACAACCUGUUCUUUAAAGAUUUAACUGUAAAGAUCUCUUUAAAGGGAUCAGUGUUUAUUUCACUUUUAAGUAGAAAACAUGACUUAAACUAGUUGAUUAAUAUUUUUAAAAUUAGUGAUGUUAACCUGUUUUUCUGAUGACAAUGAUUGCUCAUGCUAAUCCUGCACAACCACUAUAGCAACUCAAAAUGCACAAUCUCUUCUUCAGAUGAGAUAUCUUGGAAGCGUGUCUGGGAUGUAUUUCAGGCUUUGCCUUCCACAGUCUUGCCAGCCUACCAUUAUUGGCUGGUGUUCUGUGCCAUUGUUGUUUCUUGUUUUUUAAUUUAGCAUGUUUACAUAUGGCAUAUAUCACAUCAAGUCUUACUUUGUAUAUUUUAGUGGUACGUGAUUCAAAUAAUAAAGGCAUUCAGAUAAAAUAUAUCUGCACUUAAGUAAUUCAGUUGCCUCCAGCUCUUUGUCUGUAUGUCAGAGGCCUGGACUUAUCUAUCUCAGACAGUACUCAAUUUGGUAUUGAUUCAUUUGAGUAGUUGGAGGAAUUGUAGCAGAUCCAAGGCUUGAAAUUCAUUAAUGAGAUCACAGAAUAACUCAGAUUGGACUGGAGAUCUACUGAGGUCUCUUCCAACCUCCUGCUCAAAGCAAGGAGAGUCUGAAAUUAGACCAAGGUGGUCAGGGCUUUAUUAUAUCUGGUUUCAAGUCUUCAGAGAUGGAGACUGCAUGAUAUUUCUGAGCAGAAUGUUCUACACACCUGUCAUUACAGUGAAAUUUACAAUGCUAUAGUGAAAGUCUUUAUAUCCAGUCAGAAAUAUUUCAGUAUCUACCCUUUUUUUUUUUUUCCAUCCUUGUACCAGAGUCUGGCUCUGUUUUCUUGAUGAUCUCCCAAAACAGUAACUUCAGUAACUUUUUUUCUCUUGACUGAACAGACAGAUUUAUUAGAAUUUUCUUAGAGCAUGGAUGAAAUAUUUUCUUGUCCAGAGUUCUGUGUAUUUUAAUAUGGAAUAGUCUGUUAACAUAGGAGAUAGUUUAAUCCGUUAUUAGUUACUAGACUUAACUUUAAAGCACUUUUUAAGCUACAAAUGGUUAACAAAACUGAAUUUCCCUUUAGUUCUAAUAUUACUGGUAUGCCUUAUGCAUAUUAACUCACAUAUCAUAAGUACAUAUAUAUUUGAAAGGGGGUCAUGAUCUUAUUUGAACUUGGUUUUCCAGAAAUUAAAUAGGAAAGACUUAUCAAAACCUAAAGAUUUUAAGGUUCCUUGUAUUAGUGAGCUUGCUGGCCCUGAGUAUUGUGGGAGUAGUGGGAAAUCUGGUCUAGAGUAGAAUCCUUAAUGGGCCACUGUUCCUGUCAAAAAUGAUCUGCACCAGCCUCGGCUUUCCAUAGGCCGUAGUUUCUUAAGUUUAAUAUCUAUCUGCUCCAGUGUGUGGGGGGUCCUCUAUGGGCUGCACUAUGGAUGUGUGUCCUGCCAUCAAGAACCACCUCUUCCUCCUCACAUUCCUUCUGCUGUUUCUCACUUUUUGUUCCAUUCUUCUCCAACUGAUGUUUUUCUGAUUUAUUUAUUUAUUUAUUUUUCCCCCCAGAAGUGUCACUUACAUGGCUUAACUGCAUCCUACAGGGAGCCUGUUUUGGAACUGUCUGGACCUAGCAGUGUCUGACAGGAGCCCUGACCUGCUCCCAUAGAGGGCCCUUUGCAUCCUCCCUAGUUGAAAUGUCUUGAUAUCUACACUCUGCACAAUAAUUUUUUGUCUUUUUACUACAUAACUUUAGUGGCUCAACAUAGUUUGUAGAAGCAUCUUAUAAAAGAUAUGGAUCUGACUUAAAAGCAUUGUAUUAUUAUCAGAUGAAUGUCUUCUGAAACAGUAGUAAAUAUUGUGAGAUGAAGUUCAGCUUACUUUUUCAUAUACAUUAAAGGGGAAAAUUUGCAGAGGAAAUGCUAGGCUUAAUCUGAUUCCAGCAUCACUACUUCUUUAUUCAAAAUAUGUAACGUGGAUAUAAUUAGUGGCUUUAAUACAGUCAUACACCUGUUAUGAGAGAAUGAUGUUGAAUUGUUAAUCUCUGCUUGGAAUUCAUGAAAUGACUCACUUGGAUCCUGUGUCAACUAACUGUACAGAUAGAAGCUUACAUGCAGUGACUCAUGAGUAUCUCACUAUAUUCAACCAGCCAGCACUUUACCAGUUUUUACCCUUCACCCUUUGCCAUCACUGCCUGAGCAACGGCAAAGAGCAAUUCAAAUAGUUCAGUCACUUAGCAGGUCUGACCAUCGGUGAACCAUUUAUAGUUAUAUUUAAGCUAGAAAUUGAUUUUUGGUUGCUGAUAUAGUAAUUUCUUGCACAUAACUCAUUACAAAAAAAAA